AUGAGUGAAUCAGAACCCAUGUUCCUCCACACUGCCAUUAUGGAAGUCCUACCAGAGCCACAAAAGACAUCCUGGAAGAACACUUGCACUCCAUUGGAAUAAAUGGAGUUGUAUGAGGAUCUACGAUUCAUAGAAGAGGCUGACUUGCUGCCAGCUUUGAGACCUGUUCAAGCCCGGAAACGUCUUGCUUUCUGGAAAUUGAAAUACCAAACGCCAGAGAACAGCACAUCAUCAUCUGUUGAGACCUCACCAACACAAUCAUCAUCACUUUUGUUAUAGUCACCGAGAAGUUCGUCAUCCACAUCUUCCAGAAGCUGAGGACUGUACAUACAUUGACUGGGAGGACAGCUUUGAAAUUCCACGGAGUAAGUUUUCUGAGGAAUUUGUGCAGUCUUUGGAAAGAGACCUGGCCCAAGACUAAGGAAAGAAAUGGUUUGCACUCUUGUUGCAGAAAUGAUGAAAGCAAGAUGUUUUUCCAGACUCUAAAAGGCUGCAGAUGAUGCGGGGAGAGCAGAGUGGCUGCUCAGAAGAGAUGAGAUGUUAAAGAGAUGCUCUUUCUUCUGCUCUGCUACUUUAAUGAGGAGGAUGCCAUGUUCUUGUAGAAGAUGCAGACGAGGUCCAGCUGCAGCAGGACAGUCUUGCUUUUCCCCAAGGAGGUUCAUGCUCAGUUGGGACCGCUCUAUCGUACACAACAACAUUUCAGCACUGUGCCCGAUGUUCGGAAGCUACUUCUGCUUUAACAGUCAUUAUCCAACUGAGCUGGCUUCAACCCUGGAGUUUCUGCAAAGCUGAUGUCCUAAGAUGUGCCACUCUACCUGGUUGGGAACAAAUUGAAGAGGCCAAGCUCAAGAAAGCCGUUGUCAACAAAUGUAGGGCCAGAACAGGUUCUAAGGCCACUGCUAUGA